rnacentral:rRNA from 1 species
AGCAGCCGCGGUAAUUCCAGCUCCAAUAGCGUAUAUUAAAGUUGUUGCAGUUAAAAGCUCGUAGUUGAAUUUCGGGGUUAGUAGGUUGGUCAUGCCUCUGGUAUGUACUGGUCUCACUGAUUCCUCCUUCCUGAUGAACCUUAAUGCCAUUUAAUUUGGUGUUUUGGGGAAUUUGGACUGUUACUUUGAAAAAUUGAGUGUUUAAAGCAAGCUAACGCUUGAAUACAUUAGCAUGGAAUAAUGAAAUAGGACGUUCGAUCCUAUUUUGUUGGUUUCUAGGAUUGACGUAAUGAUUAAUAGGGAUAGUUGGGGGCAUUAGU